UGUUAAUGUUAUUGUUCAUGACAAUCGACUUUAAGCUUUUUGUUUGAGUGGGUUCUUGACAUUCAACUGAAGUGGGUUGACAUUCUUUUCGAUUAUUAUUCAAGUUUUGAUCAUGGGACUUUUGAUUUUUCACUUGAGGAAUAAUGGCGCUGAUUAGGAAGUUAUUUUUUUAUAAUAAGCCUCCAGAUGGGUUGUUGGAGAUUGCAGAAAGGGUUUAUGGUAUGUCGAUUGUUAACUUUUUUUGUGUAUAAAUGUAAUAUUUGAUGUGAAUUGUGAUAUUUCAGUAGUUAUUUGUAUGAUUCAUUGUGAAUGUAUGUGCUUAUGUAUGUAUUUUGAAAUUUGAAUAGUUGUAUGUGGGGAAAAUUUUGAAUUUUGAUGUGAUUGGAAAUGUAUGAUUUGAGGAGUAUAUGAACCCUAAUUUGCCCAAAAUGGCUUGAAAUUCGAUUCUUAGUUGGCAAUUUGAAUGUGGUGAGAGGGGAGGGGGGGAGUGAAAUAGGCAACGCUGGACUGUAAGCCUGGAAUUUCAUUGUAACAUAAUUCGCGAAUCAAUUCACUUUUUAAAUUCGCGAUUCGCUUAUAACCCUAAUUUGUUUUUUGAUUCACAAUUUGUGAGGAGAUCAUCGAGUCAUGUGACACUAUGGGAUUGUUUCUGGUGAGCUAAAUCAAGGGUUUCUCCUGAUUCAUUAACUUAUGAUGGUUGGAGGAUUAUGUAAUGUUUAUGCUGUGGUUUACUUGAUUGUUCGUUUUCAGAAUAAAUUGGUUCAUGUGCUUGCUAAAUGAAGCUUGAAUAGCUGCAAGUAUUAGAAACUAUCUCUGUAGUAGUCUUUGAGUGUUUAGGAGUAAGAAUGGAUGUAUUUCAACUUCUGAAAUCCCCUACUUUAGCCAGAAGCUAUAUUAUUUGGACUCGGGUACUGAUGCUGGAUACUGGUACGUGUCCAAAUGUCGGAUACGUCUAAAUAUUCAAUUUUACACCUAAAAUGAAGUGUCUAAGUGUAACACCCUGGCCCUUCGGACCGCCGGUGACUACUUAUAGAGACUGUUGAUUGGCCCCACAGACCAACACAAGUCUUUCCAGCGCACUUUGGCUUCACUCAUGUGCACCUAGGAAAAUUUCCCAUGAGGUCAUACAUCCUAAGAUUGCUCCCCCAAGUAUGCUUAACUGUAGAGUUUUUUGAAAAUGGGCUCCCUGGAAAAGAAAAUGCACUUUGUUGUUAUGAGUAGUCUAUCAAUCCUUUUUAAAGCUAAAUCCGGGGUAUUACACUAAGUGCCAUAGUAUUGUCCGAGCAUCAAUAAUCGGAUACGGGUACGUGAAGUAAAAUGAGGAGUACGAGUAACAUAGGCCGGAUGUAUUACCUAAACUAAUUGAAUUUAGUAUUUUUCCUGUGAUUAGCAUUGGCAGCCACGCAUGUGUAAGCAAGCACUGGAACAUUCAUUGUAUUCCUGGUUAGACACCAGUCUACUGCUGAGAUAUAAUAUAACAUAGUCGUUUUCUUUGUUCAUUUCUGAUGAUUGUCGUCUGCUCUGUAGCAUAAUCUGGCCUUUCAUUAAACUCUUAAUCCGCUAUGGUCUUGGUUUAGAUGAUACUCUGUCACAUCUUAAUUGUUACCAAAAUGGAAAGGGACAGAGGGAGUAGCUACUGAAAGAAAAAUGGAAAUAAACUUGACGCUUCUUUCAUUUUGGUAACAUAGUCUUUUUACAUUUUAUUGUCCGUUAAACCAUUAUAGUUUAUCACUGUAAUUGCCGAGGGGCAAGUUUGUGCAUUUUUUGACUUCACAAGCUGUAUUUCAGUGUCAUUCAUACAAGGGGGUUGUUCAUAAAUUUAUCUUCUUUCCUAGCAGGUAAUGCUUUUUGCAUGACUUUUAUGCAGGUUGAGCUUAGGAGGGCUUACAAUUGUGAAUUAAUGCUUCCCCUGCCGAUUUAAUGGUAUGGUCAUGGUUAUCAGUGUGCAAAUAAAUUUUGGGUUUGAUGGUGAAUUCUAGUUUAUCCGCUUGCUGGUGACUUGUACUCAGCAGUUAAUAGAAAUUGGGUUAACAAGCUCGGGUUGUAGUGAGAUUUAUGGAAUCUCUAUGUUGGGUGAUGCAAAUGGUUUGACGCUGUCACCUUAUCAUUAUGGCUGUCGUUAGCUUAAAUUUGUAUUAGUUAGACAUGGUGGGCCAACCAAGAUUUAGUUCCCUAGUAGAAAUGCGUUGAACCAAGCGACUGCCAGAGAUCCGACUUAAGAUCUUGGCAGAGGAAAUGCAAAGGGUUAGAAAAGGUUGUUCAAGAGCUAACUGCCUCACGAAACGAGAAGAGUUUUGCAAGAAAUCAUGCCCCCAAAUGGUCUUGCGCACAAAAUAAGGAAAGAAUUCCCAAAAUAGAAGUUUUGCUACUAAAUGCCCUGUCCCCCUAAAAUGGGAAUAAUGAGAACUGCAAACAAUAACUCGAGUUCAAAAAGAAAAAGGCGAAGAAGGAAGCCGAGUAUGAAAUGAUGAAGAUUGCUCAUGUGAAGACUCUGAGCAGCCUGUUCCGUCCCCUCGGAAGAUUGGCAUUUGGCAGUGUGAUAUGAUGACCAAUCUGUACAUGGUUCAACAGAUCUCUUAGAACACAGCAAACACAGACAGGGCCGGGUCACUCACACCCCACAGGGAGCUAUUAAGAUGUUGCACCCCAUGACAACUACACAUAGAUUAUAUUGAAAAAUGUACAUAACAUUCUUUCAAAUGUAAUUAGAAGGAUAAAUAAUGUGGUAGUAUUCUGAUUUUUUACAUUUUUUUUAAAUAAUAGGAUAUGCUUAGAGAAGAGGGGGAUUACGUGAAAUUCGAUUCGAGACUUUGUCUAGAAAAAGUGGUAGUAUUUUGAUUUUAUAUAUUUUUUUUGAAUAAUUAGAAUUCAGACUAAGUAGGUGAUGAUAAUUACAUUUUACUUCUGUAUAAUAAUUUUUAUUUACAUUUCAA